UGAGGAAUAUUGGGCAAUGCCCGCAAGGGUGACCCAGCAACGCCGCGUGGAGGAUGAAUGUCGUAAGAUUGUAAACUCCUGUUGGAGGGGAAGAAUAGUACCGGUUGGACCGGUAUAUGACUGUACCCUCAGAGAAAGCCCCGGCUAACUACGUGCCAGCAGCCGCGGUAAUACGUAGGGGGCAAGCGUUGUCCGGAUUUACUGGGUGUAACGGGCGCGCAGGCGGGAUAAAAAGUCAGUGGUGAAAUCCUACAGCUUAACUGUAGAACUGCCUUUGAUACGUUUAUUCUUGAGUUCGGCAGAGAGAGACGGAAUUCCAGGUACAGUGGUGAAAUACGUAGAUAUCUGGAAGAACACAAGUUGCGAAGGCGGUCUCUUGGUCCGACACUGACG
rnacentral:rRNA from 1 species